rnacentral:rRNA from 1 species
AAUAGUCUUUUAAUUGGAGGCUUGAAUGAAUGGUCGGACGUGAGGAAAGCUGUCUUUUACUUAGAGGGUGAAUUUAACUUUUGUGUGAAAAGGCAUGAAUGAGUCGGGGGGACGAUAAGACCCUAUAAAACUUUACGUCUUCGGGCUUAGUUUUAAAUGUUGAGUAUAAUUGGGACUUGAUUUGCGGACGUUUUGUUGGGGCGAUAGAGAUAAAAUUAGGUAGCUGUCUUUAAACAAGGAAUGCUUGUAAGCAGAUUUAGACCCCGAUUUUUGGGGUUAAAGUUUAAGUUACUUUAGGGAUAACAGCGUUAUUUCUCUUGAGAGUUCAUAUCGACAGAGAUAGUUGCGACCUCGAUGUUGAAUUAAAGUUUCUCCUAGGAGUAGAGAUUUAGAGAGUGGGUCUGUUCGACCUUUAAAAUUUUA